GCGGCGGACGGGUGAGUAAUGCCUAGGAAUCUGCCUGGUAGUGGGGGACAACGUUUCGAAAGGAACGCUAAUACCGCAUACGUCCUACGGGAGAAAGUGGGGGAUCUUCGGACCUCACGCUAUCAGAUGAGCCUAGGUCGGAUUAGCUAGUUGGUGAGGUAAUGGCUCACCAAGGCGACGAUCCGUAACUGGUCUGAGAGGAUGAUCAGUCACACUGGAACUGAGACACGGUCCAGACUCCUACGGGAGGCAGCAGUGGGGAAUAUUGGACAAUGGGCGAAAGCCUGAUCCAGCCAUGCCGCGUGUGUGAAGAAGGUCUUCGGAUUGUAAAGCACUUUAAGUUGGGAGGAAGGGUUGUAGAUUAAUACUCUGCAAUUUUGACGUUACCGACAGAAUAAGCACCGGCUAACUCUGUGCCAGCAGCCGCGGUAAUACAGAGGGUGCAAGCGUUAAUCGGAAUUACUGGGCGUAAAGCGCGCGUAGGUGGUUUGUUAAGUUGGAUGUGAAAUCCCCGGGCUCAACCUGGGAACUGCAUCCAAAACUGGCAAGCUAGAGUAGGGCAGAGGGUGGUGGAAUUUCCUGUGUAGCGGUGAAAUGCGUAGAUAUAGGAAGGAACACCAGUGGCGAAGGCGACCACCUGGGCUCAUACUGACACUGAGGUGCGAAAGCGUGGGGAGCAAACAGGAUUAGAUACCCCUGGUA
rnacentral:rRNA from 1 species